rnacentral:piRNA from 1 species
UGAGGAGGUGGUUAUUCAAUUUUCCU